GAUGAACGCUGGCGGCGUGCCUAAUACAUGUAAGUCGAACGGAGUGCUAGCAAUAGUACUUAGUGGCGAACGGGUGAGUAACGCGUUGGUGACCUGCCCCGAAGAGAGGGAUAACAGUUCGAAAGGACUGCUAAUACCGCAUGAGGUCUACCUGGUUAGAGUAGGUAGACGAAAGGAGCAAUCCGCUUUGGGAGGGGCCUGCGUCCCAUCAGCUAGUUGGUAGGGUAAAGGCCUACCAAGGCAAAGACGGGUAGGGGGCCUGAGAGGGUGACCCCCCACACUGGCACUGAAACACGGGCCAGACACCUACGGGUGGCAG
rnacentral:rRNA from 1 species